rnacentral:tRNA from 1 species
GGGGUAGUUGUCUAGUCAGGUCUAGGAUGUUACCUUCGGGAGGUAAAGGUCGUGGGUUCAAAUCCCACUUACCCCA